UAUUCCUCGGGUAACAUAGCAUCGUUCUCUCCAAGGCUUACGGUGUAAAGAGGCAUAUUUAAGGGCCUCGGCUCGUGAUUUGCUCCGUGAAGAUUCAAACCCCACGCGUCCCCCUUAGAGCACUACGCCUCUCCACCAAGCUUAUUGACUUAUUUAAUUGUUUCAUUUGCAAAGGUGAUGAUCAUAAUAAUAUCUAGCUUAGAAUGUCGUUACGAGGAUUAAAUGAAACGUGCUGCAAAGCACAGCACCUGAAAUUUAAUAAGAGUUUAAUCGAUGCUAGAUUUUUAUUAUGCAAUGGUUGUUGGUAACGUUAUAAAAGUAUUAUUGUUAAGAAUUUUAAAUUGUUAUUAACAUAUUUAAAUGAUUAUUAUUAUUAUUAUUUAUCAAGAAUAGAUUGCUAUUGCUACAUUCAGUCUAGCUUCAUGGUGGAGAGUGAGUUCUAGAGUCAGGCUGCCUGAGAUGCUGGAUCUGCAACGUGACUUGAGUGGUUACUCAGUCCUUGCCUUACAUUCCUGUCUGAAAAAUGGGGGUAAUAAUAGCACCUACCCCAGGAGGUGUGAGACUUACAUCAAUAUACAUCAGAGAACUUAGAACAUGCUCUGCAAUACUUUUCAAACUACCUUUCAAAUAUUUAGCUUCUGGACUCCAGCGUGCCAGGCGGAGCUUUCCAAGCUACAUCUGUCUUGCUUCCUAAAUUCCAAGAGCAACAGAGGAGGGUGACAAGAGCCAACAAGUGCACUCAUAACAAGACAGGAACUGAACACUCUCUGGAUUCUAACUCCCCUCUUAAUCCACCCAUGUGUGCUACCCACAUGGUCCUGUUGGGAGUUAUCUUCUGGCUCGGACUUGCUUCCUAAGACUUGGCGGAGAAAGUUGCCCUUGCCAGAGACCCUGACCACAUGCAUUCCACAGUUUCUGUUUUCUGGGAAUCAUGGGACACAAUUGGGAAAUGGAGACACCACCUUCUGAAGGAGGACAUGACAGGCGCCGAUUGCAACUGUGAGAGUGGCCCGGGCUGGAAUCCAGUCUCCUCCAGUGAUCAGCUCUUGAGUCUUCGUCCUGAAAGGCCCUGAAAUCCCUGCCUGAGAAGUUUUAGUACACCAGAUCCUUUCCCAGCCUCUGCUGAUGAGACAGACCUUUGUCUCGGUGUCCUAUUGGAUUACGAAGAUUGCUGGACACGUCUCCUCUGAUCAGUCUGUCUAGGAAUUUAAAAUGCACCAUUCUAAAAUGGAGAUGACGGGAUUUAGCACCUUGUUCGGACAAUAGAAGUGAGACUAUCAUUGGUAACAUUUCACUACCAUUUUGUGCUGCCAGGAAUAUUUCCCUUGUACUAGACUGUGACUGAAGACUUUUUCCCAAAUCAUAGGAGUCAGCAAAUAAGUCUGAAAUUAAGGGAGGAAA
rnacentral:lncRNA from 1 species